rnacentral:tRNA from 1 species
GAAAAUAGAGUAUUUUGUACAUUUUAGUUACAUUAAAAAGGUCUAUAAUUUAGUAUUUUCA